GAUGAACGCUAGCUACAGGCUUAACACAUGCAAGUUGAGGGGCAGCAUGGUCUUAGCUUGCUAAGGCCGAUGGCGACCGGCGCACGGGUGAGUAACACGUAUCCAACCUGCCGUCUACUCUUGGACAGCCUUCUGAAAGGAAGAUUAAUACAAGAUGGCAUCAUGAGUCCGCAUGUUCACAUGAUUAAAGGUAUUCCGGUAGACGAUGGGGAUGCGUUCCAUUAGAUAGUAGGCGGGGUAACGGCCCACCUAGUCUUCGAUGGAUAGGGGUUCUGAGAGGAAGGUCCCCCCACAUUGGAACUGAGACACGGUCCAAACUCCUACGGGAGGCAGCAGUGAGGAAUAUUGGUCAAUGGGCGAGAGCCUGAACCAGCCAAGUAGCGUGAAGGAUGACUGCCCUAUGGGUUGUAAACUUCUUUUAUAAAGGAAUAAAGUCGGGUAUGGAUACCCGUUUGCAUGUACUUUAUGAAUAAGGAUCGGCUAACUCCGUGCCAG
rnacentral:rRNA from 1 species